AUUGAACGCUGGCGGCAGGCUUAACACAUGCAAGUCGAACGAGUGGCGGACGGGUGAGUAAUGCUUGGGAAUCUAGCUUAUGGAGGGGGAUAACUACGGGAAACUGUAGCUAAUACCGCGUACCAUAGGCUGAGCCCAAGUGGGAUUAGGUAGUUGGGGAGGUAAAGGAUCACCAAGCCGACGAUCUCUAGCUGGGCUGAGAGGAGGACCAGCCACACUUGGACUGAGACACGGCCCAGACUCCUACGGGAGGCAGCAGUGGGGAAUAUUGCGCAAUGGGGGCAACCCUGACGCAGCCAGGCCGAGUGAAUGAAGAAUGCCUUAGGGUUGUAAAGUACUUUCAGCGGGGAGGCGUUACCCGCAGAAGAAGCACCGGCUAACUCCGUGCCAGCCGCCGCGGUAAUAC
rnacentral:rRNA from 1 species